CACUAUUAACUUUAACGAAGUAGCUUUGAUGGCGGGGAAGAGACAGCUGAUACUACACUUCCCUAACAAUAAACUACACUGACAGAUAAAAACAAACAUCGUAAAAGAAGGCCAGCUAGAAGAUGCCCAUAAGCCAGGAACUGAUUCCAGGUUGUUGGUAACCAGAGCCGGCAUGUGUGUCUGCUCUGCGACGUGUGUGCAUUUCACAGGAGGCACGGCAGAUGCCUCUGCAGCAGCGCGGUCCGCAGCCUCGUGGCUAGAGCAGGUUUAUGGAAGCCAGCCACUCUGGUCACCAGUCAGUGCUCCUCAGGAAUGUGUUUGGAGGCAACCUUCAGGGAAAGCUCCAUUUGGGUUCCAGAUUGAUGAGUGUUUACAAGAGUUGUCAUCCCACAUGAGAUGCGAGAAGUAAUGGGUGGCAAAACAAACAUUGUCCCACCUCAGCUGGAAGGAGAGCAGGAGUGAACAGUGGCUGCGUGAAGAUGUUAUGUGUGUAGUGCAGGGGGAGAGGGAAGAAGAGAGGGAUGCUAAAUCUUUUGCAUGGGGGCUGAUUCAGAGGUUGGAGGCAUGAACCUAAAACCAUCUGACCGUGACUAUUACUGGUUUCACAUUGUUCUGACAGCAG
rnacentral:lncRNA from 1 species